GUUCCCCUGCACACACCUUCUUGCCUGCUGCCACAAAGACGUGUCUUGCUUCCCCUUCGCCAUCUGCCUUGAUUGUGAGGCCUCCCCAGCCACGUGGAACAACUUUGCUGCUCUAUUGCCAAACUACUCAUAUCCCCCUGUUACUGUGAAACUUGGUGAAAUUCCUCAGGGAUUUUGAGACAUCAAAGCAAUCUCUCUAGUUCUGGAAAGACUGAAUUUGCAGCAUCUGCUGAAAUGAGAUAAAAAAAUGAAGCUUUACAGAAUGAAAAGAUACAAAAUCCAUAAAAUGUAUGGAAAUAAGAAAAAAAUCUCUUGCUCAGCAACAACUUGGCAGAACCAAUCUGACCAAUGUAUAGCAAAUAUUAAUAUGUGAUUUGCUUUUCUACAUCUGCUGGUGUUUCACAAAGGACAAAAGAAAUAAUUGCAUAGAAAUUGCAUAAAAGCCAUAUGUUCUAUUAAUAAAAUUGACUAGACAUUUUCAGCACUCACCACCAAUGUCUUUAACCUUAUGAUAAUAUUAUAGUUGAUAUUUACCUUUUAAGAAAAAUACAAAUCACUGUUUAUUCCCUGAAGCUAACCUUACACAUGCUAAAUUAUUUAUGUAUCCAUUUUAAUAUGUAUUUUGCAUCUGACAGGACAACUCUCCUUAGGACCCUUUUACUGACCCACCUGUCAUUAUGAUGGGGUAAACUAUGUCACCUUUCUAGUGCACGAUGAAUUACAAAGAAGUUGUAAAGUACACCAUCCAUCAUGCUGGCACUAAGUAGGUUUUUGAAGUAGAUCUCAGAUAUCAGAAAUGCUGUUUAGACGGUUACCAGAAAGCACAAAUUGGAAGCUUACACAAAACGGUCCUAUGAUGAAUGGACAUGACAGCUCUUCCAAGAAAAGGGGCACUCCUCUUCUGCAAAUAACCUUGUCAAAAGCAAAAAGUUGUGGGAAGCUUUGCUGGCAGUCAGACUAGAAUAAUUUAAGAACUUGUUAAUGGCUCUGCAAGACAGAAAUUCAUGCAAACACAAUGUACUCAAAAUCAAAAAAAGAGGCAUGCCUGAAUCUUUAGCAGCAACCACUCAAGCUUGAUUUGAAUUAGGGAAUGAUUUAAAGUGAUACAGAAAAAUCACCAGCGCCUUAUCUAUUAGAACAUGUGAGUUUCAAUAAUAUAUCUAAAACAGGCAUAUAAAAUAUGUGCAGGUAUUGUAUAUGCAUAUAUAAUAGCCACCUAGAAAUUGCUUUUGAAAAUUAUAAUACUGAUAUAAUCUGAGUUUUAAGAAAUGAGUAUCAAUAGCAUGUGCUUUCUUGAUAUAGAUAUUUAAAUCAAUAUGUAUUUAGUAUAAUAGAUUUGCAUUAUUAAUACAAUCUUAAAAUAGUGUCUUUAUCUAAUUUGCAUAAUUAAUUUCUCAAAUUAUGUUCUUCAAAUACAAGGUGUAAGGUUUAUCCGUAUUGCAUUUUGUUUCCUUUAACAAUCCCUUUUGUUUAGCCCUAAUAUUUCAAACAUGGAGUAUAUUUCUACAUCUACAGUUAACUUUAUUUUCUCCCUUUUAACAGCUGCAUUUUAAAAGUUUUUUUAAACUCUUCUUUAUUUUAAAAAAGGCAGUUUUAAUACACUUACAAAUGGUGUCAGGAUACUAAAUAAGGACUUAGAACUAUGCAUAUUUGGAUAACUCCAGAAAUCUGCAGUAGAGGUUGAUUUUAUUUUAUGUGAAACAAAAGGAAAUUUAAAAACUUAAAACUGUUAAGAUAAACAUGUAGAAAACUCUCAGAGAUAUGGUUACACAGGAAUAUUUUAAAAAAAACACCCCACCCAGUUUCAUUAGCAAAAUGAAAAAAAUAAUUAACUUUUUAAAAAAUAAAUGAGUACUCUUUGAUAGUAAACAGAUAAAACCACUGGUUGGUUCUCUUAAGUUUUUCAUUUUUAAAUUGGCUCUUUCAAUACAAAGUCAAAUCCUUAGACAUAGGCGUGCAUUGCCUUAACUGUGAAAGAUGGAGACAUACAAGAAAGUGUUACUGAACCCUAUCUUAUCCCAAUUGUCCCAUAUGCUGUAAUAGAAAUUGUCAUACAACAUGCCCAGAAAAACAACACAAAAGGCCAUUGUUAUAGAUACAUACACACGUGCAUUAGUUUGAAAGUUAAAAUAUAGUGUUUUUAAGUAAACCGGCUUCUUCUUUUGUGUCCUCUAUUGACAAGAAAAAGUAAGUGAAAAAGAAAAAAAAUAAAGAAGAGGAAAGAACCACAUAUAUUUGGAUAAGAAAAACAACUGUUUCAUUUAAAGGGAUCUAAAAAGACAGCUACCGAACAUAUCGAACAUAUAACCAAAAUGCUGAGAAUACAACUCCCUUAUAACUUAUAAUUCUAAAUGGGAGAGAGGCUGGGGGUGGAGAACACCAUCGGUAUCCUGCGAAUUCACAUUUCUAGUUUCUAAGGUCUGAUGAUUUGAAAUUGUCAAGGAAAUAAAAAUGGUGCUCAAGUAAAAUUUAUGGAGGCUAACUUAGCCUCCACAAACAAUGACUGCUAAAUUUGAAAAAGAUAUUAAAAUACUUUAGGCCUGAAUAUAUUUUAAUUUUAAUCAAAUCAUAAUUAUAGGGUCCCUAUAAACUAAUCAAUCAGUGGCUGCUUGGAAUUUGGUGUGGCCUAAAAACAUCUAGAAGAAAGGGAAUAGGCUCAGUUUUUAAAAGUAAGAAGGUUGAAGCUAUAGAAUUUUGCAAAUUCACAUUUUUAACUUAUUUCUUAAAAUAUUAAACCUCUCUACAUAUUAGUAAUAUUACAUAUAUUUUAAACUAAAAAAUUAUUUUACAUUAAAAAUGAGAUGACAUUCAGUUGUGUGAAGGAGUCUAACAAUGGACACUACAUAGCCAAACAUUUAUUACUCUUACACACUACUUGAACGCAGGACACUUGAAGGUGAGGCUAUCUAAUUGCAGAAGUGUGAAAGAAUAAAGAAAAUAAAGGGCGAAGAAUAUUUAUAUAUCCAUCCUACAGCAUCAUCUGUUAGAAUAAAAGGGAUGAUUAACAUUUUUGUGAUUCAGCCUAGACUUUUACAAAAUAUAAAAAGCAAACAUACAAUUACGUACAAUACUCUGUGUCCAAUAUCUGCACAAAUAUCACAGGAAAGUGGAUUUGCCCAAUAGUGGAACUCUAGGGCCCAACAGAUUCUUCCAAAUGACCUUCUCCCUGACUUUCUUCCCUCCACCACCACCUCCAUUAUUAUGAGAGUUUGCUGGUAGUGAGUAUGAAUCAGAAAUUAGAAGUAUACAAUAUCUGUUAAUAUACCCACCCCCGCUUUUUCUUCUUUUUUUUUUUUUUUUUUUGAGAAGGAGUUUCACUCUUGUUGCCCAGGUUGCAGUGCAAUGGGGCAAUCUUGGCUGACUGCAACCUCCCCUCCUGGGCUCCAGUGAUUCUCCUGCCUCAGCCUCAGGAGUAGCUGGGAUUACAGGAGCCUGCCACCGGGCCCGGUUAAUUUUUUGUAUUUUUUUAGUAGAGACAGGGUUUCACUGUGUUGGUCAGGCUAGUCUCGAACUCCUAACCUCAGGUGAUCCACCCGCCUCGGCCUCCAAUGUGCUGGGAUUACGGCCUCCCCAAAGUGCUGCUAUUACAGGCAUGAGCCACAGUGCCCGGCCAGUAUUCCUUUUAAACCAAGGCAAACAAAUUGUUAUUGAAGGGUUCAUCUCCCAUGUUUCCCUUAUUAUGCAGUAAGUCCGGAGUAUAAAGGAGUCAUAGAAAUUUAAUUUUCCAGAUCCAGUGAAUCUCCCCAUUAUACAGUAAGACCAACAAAUACAUGCUCCCAUAAGGGCCUCGGAGAAGCUGCACAGUGAUAGGAUAUCUCUUUCCUUGGUCAGUGUGGAAACUGUACAAUAUGAAAGUGCACGGGCAUUGAGGGAGGGUUUUUGUGGUGAACCCGUAUCUAAGGAACUUAUUUAAAUAAAUUAGUUGAUUUAACCUUAUUCUACCUUCAAUCCACUGGGCCAGCGGGUUAUUACAGAGGGCCAUGCUAAGGAAAUAAGGAUACAAGUUGUAGUUUCAUGAGUUUUGCGUAUCUCCUUCUUCAAGGAAUAAUCAAUGUUCACCAGCGGAAAUUGAAAAGCAAAGAGAUGGGGAAGAUUCCAAGGAUCCACUCAAGUUCCUGGUGUUUUUGUGAAUGUUCUGUGUUUAAGACAUGCUUUUGUUUAGGAGAAGACAUGAGCUGAGCCAACUGGGAUAAAGAAGAGGUUGAAAAUGCGUAUGGCUUAGACAGAGUAAAGAGUUUUAGAUAAAAUAUCGGGGUAACUUUUAGAGUCUUGGCUUAAGGCCAAAGCUUCUGAAUCAAGGAAAGAGUGACAGUUGCCUUCCUCUAUUUUUAUUAAUAUACAGGUGUGUUACCAUUAUUACCUGCCAGAAAGAGCAUAAUAUUAAUCCAAUCAAAUUAUAUGAGUCCUACAGUAGAAAUAUUGCAGACAUUUAAUAUUAUAUUGAAGUUUAAUUAAUGGUAAGACAUUUCAAGGUGGUAAUAGUUAUAUGCAGCUCUUUGGCUAAAAGUCAAAGUGUGAUAUAUACAGAAUAGAAACGAUGCUGGACUGCCAGAAAAUCUGCCUCUCCCUCCCACUCCCCCAAGAUCUAUUAGGAACGAGCAUUUACUGUUAUUAUUUCAAAUAUUUAUGCAAAGUAAUUUUAAAUGAUUUAAACAUUCCAUAUAUCAAUCAAAGUUAAUAAUAAGUUAGAUUCUGAAACAUUUGUGCCAUUAACAACAGUCAGAAAGAUAACAUUAUUUCAUUGGUAUUAAAUGAGGCAAUCAACAGUUUGAUGGAAAAAAAAAAAAAACUAAGUGUAUUUUUUAAAAUUACACUUUUACAUAGAGUUAGAAAACUAGUCCAUAGAAAGGAAACUGUUGACCAAUUACACGUUGUUAUAUCUAACUUGUAUAUUGUUCUUACUAUAGGCUAUGCUCUGUCCUCCUAGAUUUACAUAUAUUUGUAAUUUUUUCUCACAACAACCUUAUGAGUUGGAACUAUUAUUGACUCCAAUACAGAGAUGAGGAAAUCAGCCCGUUUCCUCCCAACGGUUAAGUAACAGUGGUUAACUGGGGAGCUGAGAUUUAAAACUAGUCCAUGUGGCUCUAGAAGCCUUGCACUUAACCACAAUGCCAAAAAAAAAAACUGCAUCAUAAAUCUGCUGACCCAGAAAAGGUGAAGAACUAAUACACACCUGGCUUAUCACAUGUGUUUUCCAUCAUGAAAGUAGGGGCGCUGUGUUUCAAAUCUUAAAUGUGUUAAUAAUCAUAUCAAUUUUCCACUUAAUUUCUUUUGUGUGUGCACAAUCUCAAAACACAACCCUCUCCAUUUCUUUCCCUUUCUCUAUAUCAGUGUAUUAAAUUUUGCCUCUCCAAAGCUGUAGAAUGAAAUAGACUUGCACUAUAUGGACAGAGCAAAAUGUGAAUGACUCAGUCACACAUUCAACACCUUUGAAUUAAAUUUUUCUAACAUGUUUUCACUUUCAAAAUAUGACAAGAAAAGGGUCAGGAGGGCCACAUCUUCCUUCUCUUUCCUGGCACUUCCACACUGAAAAGAUUUAAUGGUUACUUUUGUAUGUUGCAUCUUGACAGUUAGUUCAAUUUAGAUGAAAGCUGUUAUUUUCUAAUUCCAUCUCACUGUAAAUGACAGAGACAAAUGGUCAUAUU
rnacentral:lncRNA from 1 species